AGAGUUUGAUCAUGGCUCAGAACGAACGUUGGCGGCGUGGAUUAGGCAUGCAAGUCGAGCGAGGACGCUCCCGCAAGGGGGCGAGCCGAGCGGCGUAAGGGGCAGUAAGAUGUGGGGACGUACCCUCCGGUCGGGGAUAGCUGGUCGAAAGGCCUGGUAAUACCCGAUGACCCUGGGAAGGCAAAGGUUUACCGCCGGGGGAGCGGCCCACACGCUAUUAGCUGGACGGCGGGGUAACGGCCCACCGUGGCGACGAUGGCUAGCGGGUGUGAGAGCACGACCCGCGCCACUGGCACUGAGACACUGGCCAGACACCUACGGGUGGCUGCAGUCGAGGAUCUUCGGCAAUGGGCGCAAGCCUGACCGAGCGACGCCGCGUGCGGGAUGAAGGCCUUCGGGUUGUAAACCGCUUUGGCCGGGGAGGAAGGCGUAAGCUUGACCGACCCGGGAAACAAGCACGGGCUAAGUUCGUGCCAGCAGCCGCGGUAAUUC
rnacentral:rRNA from 1 species